rnacentral:lncRNA from 1 species
CGUCUGUUGGAACUUUUAAGUUUUUUUCUCAGUACCGUUUUGUUUUUAUAAAGGGACAUAACACCAUUACUAACCGUGUAUGAAAUAAGCCCGCCCUCUUCUUACCUAAUAUGGAAUAUAAAGGGACGUAACUCCACUACUAACUGUGUAUGAGAUAAGCCCCGCCUCCCUACUAACCUAAUAUCAAAUACACACGGUUUGCAC